UUUUAAUAACAUAUGAGUAUGAGCUGCAUCCAGUUGGUGGAAGUUGUGAACAUAUGUUAGCUGUUGCAAUCAGUUUGUGAGGCACCAAUGCAGAAACCAGAAAUGAUAAGCAUGGCGGAUAUCUUGCCUUUCUUAACGUGCGGUGCCGUGUCGACAAGAUGUCUCUUUGAUGAGGUCUUUAGUUCUCUACUAUGUUGCAGAACAAAAAUGUGAAGAAAACAGGAAAUCUGAAAUGGUUUCCAUGGUCAGUUUGAUGUUUGAGCUGUUUAUGGUGUUGCUGUUUGGUGUGAAGUGGGUUUGCAGUCAUUUUCCACCCGAGAGAUGCGCUGAAAUGGAGCUUUGUCAGACUUGCAGUUCAACAUCAUACUUAGAUUUGUUAUUUCCCUAUGUUUGUGUCCGUGAAUAUUGAGCUGUUGGGCAAAACAGUCAACAGUUAACCUGUUUUGUGUGUGUGUGUGUUACGGAAGCUGCAUCAUUGUUUUGUUGAAUUGUCAUUGUGUCUGCAGUUUACCGUUUAUAAGUUAGGAAGGGAAAAAACAGAAUUUUGGGGAAUUUAUAUCAAACAAAUAAUAAACAAGGUUUCGGGAUUGGGAAAGGAAUGUGGAGGUUGUCAGGUGGGAGGGUGAUGACUUGAAUUUUCAUAUCUCAAUAUAUAAUGAGGUAUGUUAAUAUGUACUGACGCGAUAAAUGUGGAU